GCUGAUCCAUUCCAUGCCGCGUGAGUGAAGAAGGCCUUCGGGUUGUAAAGCUCUUUCGGCAGGAACGAAAUGGUUCGUGCUAAUACCACGGACUGAUGACGGUACCUGAAGAAGAAGCACCGGCUAACUACGUGCCAGCAGCCGCGGUAAUACGUAGGGUGCAGGCGUUAAUCGGAAUUACUGGGCGUAAAGCGUGCGCAGGCGGUUUCUUAAGUCAGAUGUGAAAGCCCCGGGCUUAACCUGGGAACUGCGUUUGAAACUGGGAGACUUGAGUGUGGCAGAGGGGGGUGGAAUUCCACGUGUAGCAGUGAAAUGCGUAGAUAUGUGGAGGAACACCGAUGGCGAAGGCAGCCCCCUGGGUUAACACUGACGCUCAUGCACGAAAGCGUGGGGAGCAAACAGGAUUAGAUACCCUGGUAGUCCACGCCCUAAACUAUGUCAACUGGUUGUCGGGGGAUUAACUCCCUUGGUAACGAAGCUAACGCGUGAAGUUGACCGCCUGGGGAGUACGGCCGCAAGGUUACAACUCAAAUGACUUGACGGGGGCCCGCACAAGCGGUGGAGCAUGUGGUUUAAUUCGAUGCCACGCGAAGAACCUUACCUGGUCUUGACAUCCUGCGGACUUUCUA
rnacentral:rRNA from 1 species